rnacentral:sRNA from 2 species
AAAUACCAAAUAUUUGUCAAAGAAAAUCACAGAGUGGGGGAGAAAAACAAAGAUAAACAAAAGGCAACACACAAAUUGCCCUGCAUCACAGUUAAGUAAGUUGUUGGCGUACGGUCAACGGGUUAAAUUCAAUAAGAAGACAGGAGAUUUAAUCAUGUGGAGAAAGAAGGCUCUCGCCAGCUCGCCUACGUAUUCUGAAAACUCCUACCCAACCAGGCACGCGCCAUGGAUCUACGAGCUCCUGAAGCCCUAACAGUCCUCACACUAUUGUGUAGUUGAAAAGGCAGAGCAAGAAGAUCAAGUAAUUCAUUCAACGAC